UGGGGAAUUUUGGACAAUGGGGGAAACCCUGAUCCAGCCAUCCCGCGUGUGCGAUGAAGGCCUUCGGGUUGUAAAGCACUUUUGGCAGGAAAGAAACGUCAUGGGUUAAUACCCCGUGAAACUGACGGUACCUGCAGAAUAAGCACCGGCUAACUACGUGCCAGCAGCCGCGGUAAUACGUAGGGUGCAAGCGUUAAUCGGAAUUACUGGGCGUAAAGCGUGCGCAGGCGGUUCGGAAAGAAAGAUGUGAAAUCCCAGAGCUCAACUUUGGAACUGCAUUUUUAACUAUCGGGCUAGAGUGUGUCAGAGGGAGGUGGAAUUCCGCGUGUAGCAGUGAAAUGCGUAGAUAUGCGGAGGAACACCGAUGGCGAAGGCAGCCUCCUGGGAAAACACUGACGCUCAUGCACGAAAGCGUGGUGAGCAAACAGG
rnacentral:rRNA from 1 species